rnacentral:rRNA from 1 species
GUUUGAUCAUGGCUCAAUUGAACGCUGGCGGCAUGCCUUACACAUGCAAGUCGAACGGCAGCACGGGUGCUUGCACCUGGUGGCGAGUGGCGAACGGGUGAGUAAUAUAUCAGAACGUGCCUCAUAGUGGGGGAUAACGCAGCAAACGCUGUGCUAAUACCGCAUACGCCCUGAGGGGGAAAGCGGGAGACCGUAAGGCCUCGCGCUAUGAGAGCGGCCGAUACCUGAUUAGCUUGUUGGUGGGGUAAAAUCCCACCAAGGACACUAUCAAUAUCUGGUCUGAGAAGACCAUCACCCACUCUGGGACUGACACACGGCCCACACUCCUACGGGAGGCAGCAGUGGGGAAUUUUGGACAAUGGGGGCAACCCUGAUCCAACAGUGCCGCGUGAGUGAAAAAGGCCUUCGGGUUGUAAAGCUCUUUUGUCAGGGAAAAAACAGCAGCUCUAACACAGUCUGCAAAUGACGGUACCUGAAAAAUAAGCACCGGCUAACUACGUGCCACCAGCCGCGGUAAUACGUAGGGGGCGAGCGUUAAUCGGAAUUACUGGGCGUAAAGCGUGCGCAGGCGGUUAUACAAGACAGGCGUGAAAUCCCCGGGCUUAACCUGGGAAUGGCGCCUGUGACUGUAUAGCUAGAGUGUGUCAGAGGGGGGUAGAAAUUCCACGUGUAGCAGUGAAAUGCGUAGAUAUGUGGAGGAACNACCAAUGGCGAAGGCAGCCCCCUGGGACUAGCACUGACGCUCAUGCACGAAAGCGUGGGGAGCAAACAGGAUUAGAUACUCUGGUAGUCCACGCCCUAAACGAUGUCUGACUAGUUGU